rnacentral:rRNA from 1 species
GACGAACGCUGGCGGCGUGCUUAACACAUGCAAGUCGAGCGGUAAGGCCCUUUCGGGGUACGACGAGCGGCGAACGGGUGAGUAACACGUGGGUGACCUGCCCUCCAGCUCUGGGAUAAGCCUGGGAAACCGGGUCUAAUACUGGAUAUGACUCCAUGACGCAUGUUGUGGGGUGGAAAGCCUUGUGCGGCUGAGGAUGGGCCCGCGGCCUAUCAGCUUGUUGGUGGGGUGAGGCCUACCAAGGCGACGACGGGUAGCCGGCCUGAGAGGGCGACCGGCCACACUGGGACUGAGACACGGCCCAGACUCCUACGGGAGGCAGCAGUGGGGAAGUCUUGCGCAAGUGGGCGAAAGCCUGACGCAGCGACGCCGCGUGAGGGAUGAC